rnacentral:rRNA from 1 species
UACGUAGGGUGCAAGCGUUGUCCGGAAUUAUUGGGCGUAAAGAGCUCGUAGGCGGUUUGUUGCGUCGGCUGUGAAAUCCCGAGGCUCAACCUCGGGUCUGCAGUCGAUACGAGCAAACUAGAGUGUUGCAGGGGAGACUGGAAUUCCUGGUGUAGCGGUGAAAUGCGCAGAUAUCAGGAGGAACACCGGUGGCGAAGGCGGGUCUCUGGGCUGGAACUGACGCUCAGGAGCGAAAGCGUGGGUAGCGAACAGG